rnacentral:tmRNA from 1 species
CUGGUACCUUCGGGUCCAGCAAUCACCAGGGGAUGUCUGUAAACCCAAAGUGAUUGUCAUAUAGAACAGAAUCGCCGUGCAGUACGUUGUGGACGAAGCGGCUAAAACUUACACAACUCGCCCAAAGCACCCUGCCCUUCGGGUCGCUGAGGGUUAACUUAAUAGAAACGGCUACGCAUGUAGUACCGACAGCGGAGUACUGGCGGACGGGGGUUCAAAUCCCCCCGGCUCCACCA